UGCAUUUGAAGCCCAUGAGGAUGAGAACCUCCGGGGGCGGGGAGGUUCGACUCGAGCGAAGCGAGAGAACGUUGCGCCAGCAACGGCCCACAGGGCGAGCCACGAAGUGGCGAGUAAUCCUCUAUCACCGACCA
rnacentral:sRNA from 1 species